GUCACCUCCAUGCUGUGAACAAUAGCGAAGCCCAUUAACUGGCUCUGCUGAAGAAGGGAAGCCAUUUCACUUGACAUCAAGAGGUUGUAAAAGUGCAAUUUAUCCUUUCUUAUUGCAGCCACCACACACCCCGCUGAGAUGCAGAGGCAGUGUGGUCUUAAAUCACUGCUGGAAAGGCAUAGAAUUACUGUAGGAGGAUCAUAUGCAAUGACAACGCUUUAGGCUUUUUCUGCUUCUCCGUGAUAUUCUUCAGUUUGAGGAAGAUGCAAUGAAAGACUGCAGCAUCCCCUGUUCUGGAAAAAAGUGUGUCAAGAGGAGCUGUCAUUUUCCUACUGUUUGAUCAGCACAGCUGAAGAAUGGUUGGGAAAGUGCAUCUGCCUUCAAAUGCCUUCCCAGAGGAUGAUGAUCCUGCUCCUGCUCAUAUCUCAAAAUCACCCCAGGGGAAAGGACCAGCUGCAGCCCAGAGGGCUGCGAUGGAUUAAACAAAUUCUUCCU